rnacentral:rRNA from 1 species
AAAGGUAGCAUAAUCAUUUGCCUUAUAAUUGAAGGCUUGUAUGAAUGGUUUGACAAGAAUGAAGCUGUCUCUUUAUAAUUAAUUUGAAUUUUAUUUAUAGGUGAAGAAGCCUAUAUUAUAUUGAAAGACAAGAAGACCCUAUCGAGCUUUAAAGGAAUUAAUAAAUUUUUAAAUCAAUAUUAAAAUAUAGAUUUUAUUAUUAAAUCAUUUUAGUUGGGGCGACUGAGGAACAAAUAAAGCUUCCUGUAUAAAUAUUAACACAUUCAAGUACUGAUCCAGAAAUUUUGAUUAAAGGAAUUAGUUACCGUAGGGAUAACAGCAUUAUCUUUUUUAAGAGUUCUAAUCGAAAAAAAGGUUUGUGACCUCGAUGUUGGACCAGAAUAUCCUAAAGAUGCAGCCGUCUUUAAGGGUUGGUCUGUUCGACCAUUAAAAUUCUACGUGAUCUGAGUUCAGACCGGCGUGAGCCAGGUCAGUUUCUAUCUUCAAUUCUUGUAGUAAAUUUAGUACGAAAGGACCAGUUCACUGUAAAAUAUUUAUUUAAUUUGAUAAAAUAUAAAGUACUAUUAAAUUAAUUAUAAAUACUAAAAUAAAAUCAAAUUAGCAAAGAUUUAAUGCAAUUGACUUAGGAUCAGUAGACAUAGGUGAAAUUCCUUUAUUUGAUAAAUAAAGAUGGCAGAUGAA